ensembl:misc_RNA Metazoa_SRP Metazoan signal recognition particle RNA
GCUGGGUGCAGUGGUGCACGCCUGUAGUCCCAGCUACUUGGGAGGCUGAGGCAGGAGAAUUGCUUGAACCCAGGAGAUCGAGGUUGCAGUGAGCUGAGAUCAUGCCACUGCACUCCAGCCUGGGUGACAGAGUGAGAACCUGUCUCAA